AUUGAACGCUGGCGGCAGGCCUAACACAUGCAAGUCGAACGGUAACAGGAAGCAGCUUGCUGCUUCGCUGACGGGUGGCGGACGGGUGAGUAAUGUCUGGGAAACUGCCUGAUGGAGGGGGAUAACUACUGGAAACGGUAGCUAAUACCGCAUAACGUCGCAAGACCAAAGAGGGGGACCUUCGGGCCUCUUGCCAUCGGAUGUGCCCAGAUGGGAUUAGCUAGUAGGUGGGGUAACGGCUCACCUAGGCGACGAUCCCUAGCUGGUCUGAGAGGAUGACCAGCCACACUGGAACUGAGACACGGUCCAGACUCCUACGGGAGGCAGCAGUGGGGAAUAUUGCACAAUGGGCGCAAGCCUGAUGCAGCCAUGCCGCGUGUAUGAAGAAGGCCUUCGGGUUGUAAAGUACUUUCAGCGGGGAGGAAGGCGAUAAGGUUAAUAACCUUGUCGACUGACGUUACCCGCAGAAGAAGCACCGGCUAACUCCGUGCCAGCCGCCGCAGUAA
rnacentral:rRNA from 1 species